rnacentral:rRNA from 1 species
AACGAACGCUGGCGGCAUGCCUAACACAUGCAAGUCGAACGAGACCUUCGGGUCUAGUGGCGCACGGGUGCGUAACGCGUGGGAACCUGCCCUUAGGUUCGGAAUAACUCCCCGAAAGGGGUGCUAAUACCGGAUAAUGUCUUCGGACCAAAGAUUUAUCGCCUUUGGAUGGGCCCGCGUUGGAUUAGCUAGUUGGUAGGGUAAAAGCCUACCAAGGCGACGAUCCAAAGCUGGUCUGAGAGGAUGAUCAGCCACACUGGGACUGAGACACGGCCCAGACUCCUACGGGAGGCAGCAGUGGGGAAUACUGGACGAUGGGCGAAAGCCUGAUCCAGCAAUGCCGCGUGAGUGAGGAAGGCGUUAGGGUUGUAAAGCUGUUUUACCCGGGAUGAUAAUGACAGUACCGGGAGAAUAAGCUCCGGCUAACUACGUG